AAGAAAUCUGGGAAACUAUUUUGGAAUACAAUCCUCAUACUUUGGUCUGCUAUCCAUAACAGACUUUCCGGACGAGAGAAGAAACCUCAUGUGCCCUGCUUCAAAUGCUGCUGUUUACCUUUCAUAACUGCCUGAAUCAACAAGAUGGAUAAAUAUUUUUCUGUCAUGAUGGGAUGAGAGAAAGAUGGAAAGAACAACAUGUGACAGAGCUAUCAGUGGAGCUCAACUGAUUUACUCUUGAUGAAGAUCUUGCCUGCAACAAGGUACUAAAAUGUAAGAGAUGGGCUGUGCAGGAAGUGCC
rnacentral:lncRNA from 1 species